rnacentral:rRNA from 1 species
UGUAGUCUCAACGAUGAUGCAUACAUGUCCACUAUGGGUGUUGGGUCCAACAAUUCGUAUUGGUCUCAAACCAAUGACAUCCAUUUCGAAGACCAUGAGUUUGAGGUGGACGAGGAGGGUGAGGGAGUCGAGGCGCCGAAAGGAAGAGCGGGCAAUUACUCAGCCAACGAUGACAAGUUACUAUGCCAUACUUAUUUGCAAGUGUCGAGGGAUCCAUCCAUUGGAGGUGAUCAAAGUAGAGACGCGUAUUGGGGGAGAAUGAAAGAACAAUUUGAUGCUCACAACUUGAGUGGAAUUGACCGCUCCGAGAGAUCACUUCGGUCCCGAUGGUCGACAAUCAACUCGGAUUUGUUGGGGAAUGUAGUAAUUUCAAAAAAAUUCCUACACACACGCAAGAUCAUGGUGAUGCAUAGCAACGAGAGGGUGAGAGUGUGA